AAUCAGUGACGUGACAGACAGUUCAAAAUAGCACGUGCUUGAGAAGGAGAUUGUUAUACGUGUUCUUUUACGUUUCAUCCACGCUUAUAAUACUGAUGAUCGAUAUAUUAUUUUAUGUUUUUCUAAAUAUUAUAAAAGAAUUUAAUAUUUUAUCUCAUUCUUCUUCCUACGUGAAUUAGAAUGACAAGUAAGAAAGGACACACCCUUCGAAUUGAAUCAGAGAUCGAUAAAAACCGUGAAGAAGGAAAUUGGAAAAAGGUUAUAGAAUUGGCGGAACACCUAAAAGUACAGUAUCCCAGUAAUGAAUGUCUAGCAAAUUUUUUAUGUGGAGAAGGAAGAUUAGAAAGUUUUUUAGAACAAACUCCACCUAUAGAUGCUAACAUUGGAAAAGCUAGAAAUGGUUUACAAGAAACUAGAAGAUAUUUAAUUCUUGCAGCAAAUGAAAAAGAUAAACAAGCUUUGGUUGUAUUAGAUGCACAUUUAUUACUUGGUAAAUUGCAUUAUGCAAUGGGAAUGUAUGAAGAAGCUCUCAAACAUUAUCAACAAGCUGAAUUACAUACACUUACAGAAAAACCAUUACCUUGUAGAAGUCUACGUAUUAUUGCAGAAUCAUAUGCAAUUAAAGACACAGGAAAACAUUUAUCCCGCCGAAGACUGCGCAUUAUUGCUGAGUCACAUGCAAUUCAAGGUCUUUGUUUAGAAAAAUUACCACCAAAUUCUAAAUCAAAAUAUAAAAUAGCAGAAUGGCAAGAACAAAUCAUCAAAUGCUAUGAAAUAGCUGGGGAUCUAACAUUGGUAUAUUUACAAGAACAAGACAAACUUGCAAUGCAACAUCAAAAUGGAACGUCUACCGUAAAUAGUAACAAUGCAGGUACAUAUUCUUCUCAAUCUUCGUUUUGUUCUACAAAACAUAUUGGACCAAUAUUGGAAACUGCACUACAAAGGGCACCCAUAUUAUACAUUCAAAUUGGUAAUAUUCAAGGUGCAAUAAAUCGUUAUAGGGAAAUUUUAUCUGCUGUGGAAUCUACAACAACUCAAAGUCUUAGAGUUACCUUAACAAGACAAUUGGCAGAAGUAUUAAUUCGAGGCAUUAGCGGUGCUGAAUAUAAACCUCCAGAAGUACCAAGUGACUCAACAGAUUCACCUUGGAAACCAAAGAAAUAUUUAGGUCUUAAUAAGUUUGUGCCAAGAAAUGAAUAUGAAGAAACAAUUUUAUUAUUAUUAAUAAGUGAAGCUAUGGCAGUUAGAGAUGCUGUGCUUAGUCAAUCUCCAGAAUUUAAAGAUGCAAGAAUUCAUGCUUUUGAAAAUGCUGCUGCAGUAUAUGAUCUUCUCACAGUAGUUGUUGUGAGGUGGAGUCAAGUGGAUUUAUUAUAUGAAGUAAUUGCAAUGAAUUUUUCAAUAUAUAUUCAUUUUUCAAAUAUACAUUCAUUUGAAAGAGCAAUGAAAUUUUCUCAUGAAGAAGCGCAUGUAUGGACUCAAUGUGCAUUAUGUUUAAUUAGUAUGGGAAAAUAUAUGCAUGCUUAUAGAGUUUUAAAAGUGGUAACAAGAUUAUCAUCGCAAAAAGUAAUGCCGUGCCUUUUAGCUGCGAGACUAUGUUAUGAACAAUUAAAUAUGAUAAAAGAAGGUAUCGAAUGGAGUCAAAAAGCACUUCAAAGAGAAACUUCAUAUUCUCAAGGGAUGCAAUCAAGAUGUCAUCUUUAUAUUGGUAUUGGUCAUAGUAUUCUUGCUGUAAAUACUAUAGUAAAAAUGGAUAAAACUUACCAUACUAAGACAGCUCUAGAAUGCUUUCAAAAAGCACAGCAAUGUGAUCCAAAUGAUCACUUAGCAGAAUAUUAUUUAGCUCACGAAUAUGCAAUUAACAGACAAAUUAAUGACGCAAUGAUUCACGUAAAAAUUGCAUUAAAUUUACGAGCAGAACACAUUCCAUCAUUGCAUUUAUUAGUAUUACUAUUGUCGGCUCACAAGCAAUAUUCAGAAGCAUUGCAUUUAAUAAAUAGUGUAUUAGAAGAAUAUCCAGAUAAUUUAAAUUUUCUUUAUGUAAAAGCGCAUCUUGAAUUACGAAGUAUCGGUGGUGAACAAGCAUUGUUUACCAUAAGACAUAUGCUUUUACUAUGGAAGAAUCUAUAUGAAGAUCAAACUAAUGCUAAUUGUAAUGAACAACAUAGUGAAAAACGCAGUGAAACUAGAAGUGUUUUUCAACUUUAUGCUUCUGAAUUGUCUGAUAAAGAUUCCACUAAAAUUUUUAAUAGGUUCUCUUCAUGCACAAUCAUUAGCUGCUUCAAGAGUAGAGCAAGCUUUAUCAGAGGUUGCAUCUUCGCUCAGUUCUUUUACUCCAAAGCCUGGACCACAAAGAGCAUGGUUGUUACAAUUACAAGUUUGGCUAUUGCUUACUGAAGUAUAUCUAGUUUUAGAUCAACCAAAUGGUGCUGUCCUUUCUUUACAAGAAGCUACAAAUAUUUUUCCACUAAGUCAUCAUAUUAUGUAUACACGGGGUCUUCUUCAUGAAUAUAAAUUGGAAUAUAUGGAAGCAAAACAAUGUUAUCAGAAUGCAGUUUCAAUUAAUCCAUCACAUAUUAAAAGUUUACAACAUUUGGGAUUAAUUUAUCAUUAUUUGGGUAGUCAAAGAUUAGCUGAAAAAACUUUACGGGAUGCUGCAAAAAUUGAUCCAAAUUCUCAUCAAACAUGGUACAAUUUAGGAAAAGUGUUGGAAUCUUUAGGUGAAGUAGAAGCAGCAAGUGAUUGUAUGGCUACGGCUUUGGAAGUAGAAAUUACGAAUCCAAUAUUGCCAAUUCUUUCAAUACCAGUAACAUUUGAAUGAUUCAAAAUUUUAAUUUUUUAAAAAAGAUUAUAAUUUAUCAUGCAACAUUGGCAUUUGUUUGUCCUUGUGGCAAUCGUACCUGCUUAUCUUUAAAAUUAAUUGCAUUAUUGUACAAAUAUAUAAAUUCUUUAAAAAAUAUUAUGCAAAUAAUUUAUCAAUAAAGACUUAUUGUAAAAAGACUCAAAUAAAGAAAUAUAA